rnacentral:rRNA from 1 species
GGACGAACGCUGGCGGCGUGCUUAACACAUGCAAGUCGAACGGAAAGGCCCCAGCUUGCUGGGGUACUCGAGUGGCGAACGGGUGAGUAACACGUGGGUGAUCUGCCCUGCACUCUGGGAUAAGCCUGGGAAACUGGGUCUAAUACCGGAUAGGACCGUGCUUUAGUGUGUGCGGUGGAAAGUUUUUCGGUGCAGGAUGAGCCCGCGGCCUAUCAGCUUGUUGGUGGGGUAAUGGCCUACCAAGGCGGCGACGGGUAGCCGGCCUGAGAGGGUGUACGGCCACAUUGGGACUGAGACACGGCCCAGACUCCUACGGGAGGCAGCAGUGGGGAAUAUUGCACAAUGGGCGCAAGCCUGAUGCAGCGACGCCGCGUGGGGGAUGACGGCCUUCGGGUUGUAAACCCCUUUCGGCAGGGACGAAGCUUUUGUGACGGUACCUGCAUAAGAAGCACCGGCUAACUACGU